rnacentral:rRNA from 1 species
AUUGAACGCUGGCGGCAUGCUUUACACAUGCAAGUCGAACGGUAACAGCACUUCGGUGGCUGACGAGUGGCGAACGGGUGAGUAAUACAUCGGAACGUGCCUAGUAGUGGGGGAUAACUACUCGAAAGAGUAGCUAAUACCGCAUGAGAUCUAAGGAUGAAAGCAGGGGACCUUCGGGCCUUGCGCUACUAGAGCGGCUGAUGGCAGAUUAGGUAGUUGGUGGGAUAAAAGCUUACCAAGCCGACGAUCUGUAGCUGGUCUGAGAAGACGACCAGCCACACUGGGACUGAGACACGGCCCAGACUCCUACGGGAGGCAGCAGUGGGGAAUUUUGGACAAUGGGCGCAAGCCUGAUCCAGCAAUGCCGCGUGCAGGAUGAAGGCCUUCGGGUUGUAAACUGCUUUUGUACGGAACGAAAAGCCCUCUUCUAAUACAGGAGGGUCAUGACGGUACCGUAAGAAUAAGCACCGGCUAACUACGUG